CCUACGGGAGGCUGCAGUGGGGAAUAUUGGGCAAUGGGCGCAAGCCUGACCCAGCAACGCCGCGUGAAGGAAGAAGGCUCUCGGGUUGUAAACUUCUUUUAUCAGGGACGAAGCAAGUGACGGUACCUGAUGAAUAAGCCACGGCUAACUACGUGCCAGCAGCCGCGGUAAUACGUAGGUGGCAAGCGUUAUCCGGAUUUACUGGGUGUAAAGGGCGUGUAGGCGGGAAAGCAAGUCAGAUGUGAACACCAUGGGCUCAACCUGUGGCCUGCAUUUGAAACUGUUUUUCUUGAGUACUGGGAAGGUAGACGGAAUUCCUAGUGUAGCGGUGAAAUGCGUAGAUAUUACGAGGAACACCAGUGGCGAAGGCGGUCUGCGGGACAGCAACUGACGCUGAGGCGCGAAAGCGUGGGGAGCAAACAGGAUUAGAUACCCUUGUAGUC
rnacentral:rRNA from 1 species